CUACAGGCAAUGUGGUGUUGAUAUACACAAUGCAGCAGGUGAAAGAACCUAGUGGGGAAACCCCCACUCAACUCUCGAUUCGGCGUGCACUCAAAAAUCACAAACAAAAAU
rnacentral:pre_miRNA from 7 species